rnacentral:rRNA from 1 species
GAUGAACGCUGGCGGCGUGCUUAACACAUGCAAGUCGAGCGAAGCGCUUUGGUUAGAUUCUUCGGAUGAAGACCUUUGUGACUGAGCGGCGGACGGGUGAGUAACGCGUGGGUAACCUGCCUCAUACAGGGGGAUAACAGUUAGAAAUGACUGCUAAUAUCGCAUAAGACCACAGUACCGCAUGGUUUUAGUGUGAAAAACUCCGGUAGGUGUGAGAUGGACCCGCGUU